UUGACGGGGGCCCGCACAAGCGGCGGAGCAUGUGGCUUAAUUCGAUGCAACGCGAAGAACCUUACCAGGGCUUGACAUGCAUGGAAAUCCCGUAGAGAUACGGGGUCCCUAAGGGUCCUGCACAGGUGGUGCAUGGCUGUCGUCAGCUCGUGUCGUGAGAUGUUGGGUUAAGUCCCGCAACGAGCGCAACCCUCGUCCUAUGUUGCCAGCGAGCCAUGUCGGGGACUCAUAGGAGACUGCCGGGGUCAACUCGGAGGAAGGUGGGGAU
rnacentral:rRNA from 1 species